rnacentral:rRNA from 1 species
CAAUAGCGUAUAUUAAAGUUGUUGCGGUUAAAAAGCUCGUAGUUGGAUUUCUGCUGAGAACGACCGGUCCGCCCUCUGGGUGUGUAUCUGGCUCUUUCUUGGCAUCUUCUUGGUGAACGUUGCUGCACUUGACUGUGUGGAGCGCUACCCAGGACUUUUACUUUGAGGAAAUUAGAGUGUUUCAAGCAGGCAUACGCCUUGAAUACAUUAGCAUGGAAUAAUAAGAUAGGACCUCGGUUCUAUUUUGUUGGUUUCUAGAGCUGAGGUAAUGAUUAAUAGGGAUAGUUGGGGGCAUUCGUAUUUAACUGUCAGAGGUGAAAUUCUUGGAUCUGCUAAAGACGGACAACUGCGAAAGCGUUUGCCCAGGAUGUUUUCAUUGA